CAGUAGCCGCGGGAAUACGUAGGGUGCAAGCGUUAAUCGGAAUUACUGGGCGUAAAGCGUGCGUAGGUGGUGGUUUAAGUCCGUUGUGAAAGCCCUGGGCUCAACCUGGGAAUUGCAGUGGAUACUGGGUCACUAGAGUGUGGUAGAGGAUAGUGGAAUUUCCGGUGUAGCAGUGAAAUGCGUAGAGAUCGGAAGGAACAUCUGUGGCGAAGGCGACUAUCUGGGCCAACACUGACACUGAGGCACGAAAGCGUGGGGAGCAAACAGGAUUAGAUACCCCAGUAGUCCCUGUCUCUUAUAC
rnacentral:rRNA from 1 species